UACGUAGGGUGCAAGCGUUAAUCGGAAUUACUGGGCGUAAAGCGUGCGCAGGCGGUGAUGUAAGACCGAUGUGAAAUCCCCGGGCUUAACCUGGGAACUGCAUUGGUGACUGCAUUGCUGGAGUAUGGCAGAGGGGGGGUGGAAUUCCACGUGUAGCAGUGAAAUGCGUAGAGAUGUGGAGGAACACCGAUGGCGAAGGCAGCCCCCUGGGUCAAGAUUGACGCUCAUGCACGAAAGCGUGGGGAGCAAACAGG
rnacentral:rRNA from 1 species